GGCAGGAGGCUCUUCCCCUACCGCUACUUCGCGCGACGAGGUCAUCGCGUUCGGUGGGAUCCCGGACCCGGUCUCUGUAGGGAGACGGGUCAGCGGGAGACUACAGGAGCACUCCGAUGUUGAUGACAUGCAGCUGAGGUGCGCGUUGAGAGCGGCCAAGCUGCGGGACGUCGAGACUACAACUGGUUAUCUUCAGGGCCACAGCGUUGAUCCGUAUGUGGUCGCUACUCACUCCGAUGGAGGACAGGGGGCAUUUGGCUACUGCGUCUACCCGAUGGGAGAUGGUAGCUCGGGUUAUUUUCAACCGGUUUGGAUGGCGGUCAUGUAAUAGGAUAGGCAUGUAGUGCUCCUAUUUUUUGCCAGCCGGUUGUGGCUUUAUGUUUACGCUCGUCUGAGCGGCUUGUCGUCUUUUUUACUUUAAACC